GUACACUCCUGCGGGAGGCAGCAGUGGGGAAUAUUGCACAAUGGGCGCAAGCCUGAUGCAGCCAUGCCGCGUGUAUGAAGAAGGCCUUCGGGUUGUAAAGUACUUUCAGCCGGGAGGAAGGCAAUACGGUUAAUAACCGUGUUGAUUGACGUUACCCGCAGAAGAAGCACCGGCUAACUCCGUGCCAGCAGCCGCGGUAAUACGGAGGGUGCAAGCGUUAAUCGGAAUUACUGGGCGUAAAGCGCACGCAGGCGGUCUGUCAAGUCGGAUGUGAAAUCCCCGGGCUCAACCUGGGAACUGCAUUCGAAACUGGCAGGCUUGAGUCUUGUAGAGGGGGGUAGAAUUCCAGGUGUAGCGGUGAAAUGCGUAGAGAUCUGGAGGAAUACCGGUGGCGAAGGCGGCCCCCUGGACAAAGACUGACGCUCAGGUGCGAAAGCGUGGGGAGCAAACAGGAUUAGAUACCCUUGUAGUCCCAUGA
rnacentral:rRNA from 1 species